AUUGCGACUUCAUUUGCCUUUGCGACCUUGAGGGGAAGGAAGUAAUUAGAAUCUGUAUCCCAUCACUUGAGUGCUUAACCAUUAGCUCUCUACAGUUUACAAAAGCUAAAUUGGAGUUUGAUGUUCCAAAUAUUCGGAAAUUCAAGUUCGAGGGAUAUGAUGUGCCGCGGCUGGAGUUGAAAACAAGUAGUAGGGAAUGGG
rnacentral:lncRNA from 1 species